GCUGCUGCCCAGAGCCAACGCUGUGCUCCUGCGACACCUGUUUGGGCUGCUGCACAGCAUCCAGCAGCACUCCUUCACCAACCAGAUGACAGCUGGCAACCUGGGCGUGUGUCUCUCCCCCAGCAUCUUCUGCAUGCCCAUUCCCUGCACCUCAGACUUAAGAAAGGACUUGAGGAAAAAAGUUUGAUCUUGCACAAUUUUUGAUCCAAAAUGGCCUCAAGAUCUUUGGCGAGGACAUCACCUCCCUCUGCGCAGUGACAACAAAGAAACCUCUGGAGUCCAAGCCAGCAUGAUGGAAAAAAUUAAACCCAUGACUGCAACUCUGGCAGGAGUGUCUCAGUUUGCCCUGCUCUAAUUUAAUUGUUUGCCUACAAUGUGGCAGGCACAGUUCUAGGCACAGAGGUUAUGAGGAGGGACAAAUCACACAUUCUGUAUCAUCGAGAAGCUUCUGAUUCAGUGCAACACCAUCACGCUGCAUCACUGAAUUAUGUGCAAGAAGCCUAAAGUCCUUCAUUCGCAGAACUGGGGAGAAAUGUCAUCUUCUCUUAUUCUGUCUGCUGGGCAACUUGGUGCUUCAGUUCUCAGGAAUUUAUAGCCUUGCAGUGUUGUUAGAGCAGGAGGGAAGGGGGAAAGGCAAGAAU